rnacentral:rRNA from 1 species
AUUGAACGCUGGCGGCAGGCCUAACACAUGCAAGUCGAGCGGAUGAAGGGAGCUUGCUCCUGGAUUCAGCGGCGGACGGGUGAGUAAUGCCUAUGAAUCUGCCUGGUAGUGGGGGAUAACGUCCUGAAACGGGCGCUAAUACCGCAUACGUCCUGAGGGAGAAAGUGGGGGAUCUUCGGACCUCACGCUAUCAGAUGAGCCUAGGUCGGAUUAGCUAGUUGGUGGGGUAAAGGCCUACCAAGGCGACGAUCCGUAACUGGUCUGAGAGGAUGAUCAGUCACACUGGAACUGAGACACGGUCCAGACUCCUACGGGAGGCAGCAGUGGGGAAUAUUGGACAAUGGGCGAAAGCCUGAUCCAGCCAUGCCGCGUGUGUGAAGAAGGUCUUCGGAUUGUAAAGCACUUUAAGUUGGGAGGAAGGGCAGUAAGUUAAUACCUUGCUGUUUUGACGUUACCAACAGAAUAAGCACCGGCUAACUUCGUG